rfam:Ornithorhynchus anatinus chromosome 3, whole genome shotgun sequence.
AACAGCGUGGCUCAGUGGAAAGAGCCCGGCCUUGCGAGUCAGAGGUCACGGGUUCGAAUCCCGGCUCUGCCA